rnacentral:lncRNA from 1 species
GAAAAAAAUCAAUCUUAUAACUCUCUCUCACUCACAUCUCACGUCAACUCUCUCUAUUUAUUACUCAGAAAUAAAACUAUAUAGAAUAAUACUUAUAAACCUUCUAUCUCGGUUACUAUUAUACAACACGUUAUCAGCACGAGACCCUGACCAACUGAGGCUUAUCAAUCCGAAAGUUCUUAAACCAGCCGAGGUAAUGUUUAAAUUUAUGUAUUUCAAUAUACUUAAUUUAUUUAAAUUUUAUUAUUAUUUCGGAGUGAGAGGCUAGACCUUCUCCGUUUAUUUUUCGGAAUGAUAGGCGCUGCCUUCCCCGACUGAUCGUUAUGGUAGGCUAUGCCUUCACGAUCAGAGAAACACGUGGUAGGCUUUGCCUCCGUGAAUAAAAAGAAAAAGUCAAAAAUUGUAGACUAAGUCUCCUCGGACCUUGAAAUAAGUAAAAGUCAAAAUGGUAGACCAUGUCUCCUCGGACUUUGAAAAAUGAUCAAUAUGGUAGUCUAUGACUCCUCGGAUCAUGUGGUAGGCUGAGCCUCCCGAUUUUAUUUAUGCUAUUUAAAUUUUUGCAAUUUAAAUUUAUGCAAUUUAAGUUUAUGCUUUUAUUUUAUGUCUUUAAUUUUUGCAUUUAAAUUAUGCAUUUAAAUUCCCGUUUUUACUAUAUUUAUAAUAUUAUUCUAUGAAUACAGUUAUCAUGUCGAAUUUGACAAAGCUCGAAAUUAAUGCCCUGGAUAUUACGGGAAAUAAUUAUAUGACCUGGGCAGUGGGUGCAAAGAUGCACCUGAGAGGAAACGGGCUUUUGGAAACCAUCGAUAGUUCAAAAACGGUGUCGGAUGAGAAAAAGGCUAAAGCCAUGAUAUUUUUACGACAUCACAUCCAUGAUGGUUUAAAGGAUGAAUAUAUUACGAAAGAGGAUCCUUGUGACCUCUGGAAAUCUUUAAAAGAGAGGUUCGAUCACCAGAAAUAUGUGAUCUUACCGAAAGCUAAACACGAGUGGAUCCAUCUCCGGUUCCAGGAUUACAAAAGUGUUAGUGAGUUUAAUUCCGCGAUGUUCGGAAUUACUUCGAGGAUGAUGUUAUGUGGAGAGAAAAUAAGUGAUUAUGAUAUGAUCGAGAAAACUCUCUCCACGUUCCAUCCUGAAAAUGUAAUCCUGCAGCAACAGUACCGGGUGAAUGGAUAUACCCGUUGCUCGGAGUUGAUGCAAGUCCUCCUUGUAGCGGAGCAGAAUAAUCAACUCGUGACUUUAAACCAUCAAGCUCGUCCCACUGGAUCUGCUCCAUUCCCUGAAGCGAAUGUUGCAUCAUCCAGUUAUGAUAAUAGAAGAGGACGAGGUCGUGGACGUGGUGGAAACCGUUAUCAUGGUCGUGGAAGAGGACGAGGAAGAAGAUUCCGUCCCUAUGAUGAAAGAAAUAAUAAAGACUUCCACGAAAAUGAAAGGAAUGAAAAGGGCCAGGAUGAUAAAAGGCAAACAGGAAAGGUUUGCUACAGAUGCGGCAUGAAAGGUCAUUGGGUACGUAACUGUCGUACGCCAAAACAUUUAGCCGAUCUGUAUAGAGAAUCCCAAAAGGGAAAAGAGAAAGGAAGAGGUGAAACAAACUUCAUCUCUGAUGAACCUGAGCCAUCAUUUCAUGGUUUGAACGAUGAUACUCAUCUCGACGUAUCAGACUUUCUGGUUGAGCCAGAGAGUAUCGAUGAGUGAUGUAGAUCGAUGUGAUAUAAAUAGACUGUAUUAUAGUAUCUAUAUCUUUUGUUGUAAGAUAUAUGUUAUGUUUGUGUUUGGCAGAUAGUGCGUCAACGCACACGAUAAUUAAAGAUAAGAAAUAUUUUUCCAGUCUCAAAAUAAAAGAUUACGCUGGAAGCGUAAGUACAAUAUCUGGUAAUGCAAAGAUUAUUAUGGGCUCUGGAAGAGCGAAAUUUUCAAUGCCAGGGGGAACAAUAUUUGAAAUAAGUGAUGCAUUGUAUUCCCCCGAGUCUCAUAGAACUUGUUAAGUUUUAAGGAUAUCCGAAGAAAUAGAUAUCAUAUUGAGACUAUGAGUAAAGAUGGCAUUGAAUUUCUUUGCAUUAAGUCCGAGAGGAAACAUAUAUUGGAAGAGUUACGAAUGUUAUCCUCUGGACUAUAUUGUACGAAAAUAACCAUGACUGAGUCCUAUGCCGUGGUAAACAUGAAGUUUACUGAUACAUUUAAGAUUUGGCAUGAGAGGCUAGGACAUCCUGGUUCAGUCAUGAUGAGAAAGAUAGUGCAAAAUUCGAAUGGCCAUCCGUUGAAAAACGGAAAAAUUUUGCAAACGGGCGAAUUUACAUGUACUGCAUGUUCUCAAGGAAAACUUAUAACUCGGCCAUCACCAGCAAAAGUAGGCAAUGAAUCACCAAUGUUUUUAGAAAGAAUACAUGGUGAUAUAUGUGGGCCGAUCCACCCACCGUGCGGGCCAUUUAAGUAUUUCAUGGUAUUGAUUGACGCAUCUAGUAGAUGGUCAAGUGUGUCUCUUUUGACGACACGAAAUACGGCUUUCCCAAAGUUCAUUGACCAGAUAAUAAAGCUGAGAACACAGUUCUCAGAGUAUGCCAUUAAGAAAGUAAGGCUUGAUAAUGCUGGUGAAUUUACAUCGCAAGCCUUUGAUGAUUAUUGUAUGUCAAUGGGGAUUGAUGUGGAGCAUCCAGUUCUCCAUGUGCAUACACAAAAUGGCAUGGCCGAGUCAUUGAUAAAACGGUUGCAGUUGAUUGCAAGACCGUUAGUCUUGAGAACGAAGCUCCCAAUUUCUGUAUGGGGACAUGCUAUAUUGCAUGCGGCUGCACUGGUUCGGUUAAGACCGAGUGCAUAUCAUAAGUACUCCCCAUUACAAUUGGCAUCUGGGCAAGAGCCAGAUGUAUCCCAUCUCCGUGUCUUUGGGUGUGCGGUCUAUGUUCCGAUAGCUCCGCCACAAAGAACAAAAAUGGGCCCACAAAGGAGAUUGGGAAUAUAUGUGGGUUAUACGUCACCAAGUAUAAUAAGAUAUCUGGAACCAGUAACUGGUGAUAUGUUUAUGGAAAGGUUUGCCGAUUGCAAUUUUAAUGAAGAUGAAUUUCCAGCGUUAGGGGGAGGAAUUGGUAAAAUUCCUCAAGAGAUUACAUGGUGUACACCGUCAUUGUUACACCUUGAUCCCCCUACGAAUCAAAGAGAACUGGAAGUUCAGAAAAUUGUGCAUUUGCAUAAUUUGGCAAACCAGUUACCAGAUGCGUUCACAGAUACAAGAAGGGUGACGAAGUCAUGUAUACCCACUGAAAAUGUUCCAUCAAGAGUUGAUGUUCCUAAAGAACAAACUGAUGGAAAUAAAAUGAAUGAACCUAGGGUUCAGUUAAAGAGGGGGAGACCAGCGGGUUCUAAAGAUAAAAAUCCCCGAAAGAAAAAGAAAUUGGAUGAACAAAGUAAGGUUCUAGAAGAACCUGAUAUUGAAAGAUGUCUGAAAGAAGACAUAAAUAGAAAGGUUCCAGAAGAACCUGAUACUGAAAAAUGUCUGAAAGAAGGCAUAGAUAAAGAUGAUCCAGAUGACGAGAAGGGAACAGAAAAGUAUGAGAUUUCCAUCAACUACGCCCGAGAUAAAAAGUUAUGGAUCAAAAAUAAGAUAAAAGAUGUUGAUGGAAUGUUCUCCUUUUCUGUGUCCAAAGAGAUCGAUCAUGAAAAUGAUGAUCCCGAUCCAAGGUCCAUUUUGGAAUGUCAGAAAAGACAUGAUUGGGAGGAGUGGAAGAAGGCCAUUCAAAUUGAAUUACUCUCCCUAAAUAAAAGAAAUGUCUUUGGACCUAUAGUCAUAACGCCUGAGAACAUAAAUCCUGUUGGGUAUAAGUGGGUAUUCGUGAGAAAAGUAAAUGAGAAAAAUGAAGUAACACGAUAUAAAGCCCGAUUAGUUGCCCAAGGUUUUUCUCAGAGACCGGGAAUUGAUUUUUAGGAAACGUAUUCCCCGGUAAUGGAUGCAAUUACGUUUAGAUUUUUGAUGAGCCUAACGGCGUCUAAAAAUCUUGAGAUGCAUCUCAUGGACGUUGUGACUGCAUAUUUAUAUGGAUUGUUGGAUAACGAUAUAUAUAUGAGACUCCCUGAGGGAUUGAAAAUGCCUGAAGCAUUGAAAGAAAAAUCCAGGGAGAUUUGUUCGGUCAAGUUACAGCGAUCACUUUACGGAUUAAAGCAAUCCGAACGCAUGUGGUACAAUCGCUUAAGUGAAUAUCUUUUGAGUAAAGGAUAUGUGAAUAAUGCGAUAUGUCCAUGCGUUUUUAUAAAAAAAAAAAAUCGUCAUCUGGCUUUGUGAUCAUUGCUGUAUAUGUAGAUGACCUGAACAUAAUUGGAACUCAAAAGGAGGUCGAUGAUGCUCGAACUCAUAUGAAAGAGGAGUUCGAAAUGAAAGAUCUUGGCAAGACAAAGUUUUGUCUUGGACUCCAGAUAGAGCAUCUCUGAGAAGGAAGAUUUGUGCAUCAAUCAAACUAUACGAAAAGGUUAUUGAAACGCUUUCGUAUGGACAAAGCGACUCCUUUGAGUACUCCAAUGAUAGGUAGAUCUCUCAAUGUUGAGAGUGAUCCUUUUAGGCCCUGCGAAGAUAGCGAGAAGAUAUUAGGUCCAGAAGUACCUUAUAUGAGUGCUAUCGGUGGGCUGUUAUAUCUUGCAAACUGUACCAGACCAGAUAUAGCUUUUGCUACUAAUCUACUGGCAAGAUAUAGUUCUGCUCCUACUCGCAGACACUGGGACGGAAUAAAGCAUGUAUUCCGUUACCUCCAAGGUACAAUUGAUUUAGGGUUAAUGUAUUUUAGAAAACCCGAGUUUGGUAUGGUUGGUUUUGCAGAUGCAGGAUACUUAUCAGAUCCUCAUAAGGCUCGAUCGCAAACCGGCUACGUUUUUACAAUUGGUGGAACCGCGAUCUCUUGGCGGUCCCAGAAACAAACUCUGGUCGCGACAUCUUCAAAUUAUGCAGAAACUAUUGCGCUUCACGAAGCUUGUCGAGAAUGUGUGUGGCUUCGGUCAAUGAGUCACCACAUACAAGAAUCAAGCGGAAUGGUCAACGAGAAAGAGCCGACGAAAAUAUUUGAAGAUAAUUCGGCUUGUGUUGCUCAACUCAAGGAAGGCUACAUUAAGAGCGACAGAACAAAACACAUCCCUCCAAGAUUUUUCUCGUACGUAAGGGAGCUCGAGAAAAAUAAAGAAGUGGACAUUGAGUAUGUACGGUCAUGCGAAAAUCCGGCUGACUUGUUCACCAAAGCUCUUCCGACUACAACAUUCCGAAAACAUGUCUACGGUAUUGGAAUGCGGCAUUUGCGUGACCUAUGAUGAGAAAGCUACGUCUACUAUCUCAGGGGGAGAUUACGGCAGUGUACUCUUUUUUCCUUGUCAUGGUUUUUGUCCCAAUGGGUUUUUCCAUGACCAGGUUUUUAACGAGGCAUUACGUAAUACAAGAUAUAUAAUCAAGGGGGAGUGUUUAAAAAUAUAAUAUCAAAUAUGAUUAUCUACUCGAAGAGAUAAUGUUUAUCUCUUAUUUUGUCUUGUAGUUUGUAGUCGGUUAAAUAGACCGACCUCUUCUCCCUAUAAAUACCUUUGUGCUCUCCUUUGUUAUAACAGAUACUAGGAUAAGACAUGCGCCUUGCGCAGAGUGAAUUUAUUUUUAUAUAUUAUCGAUAGUUUCUUUUAUAUAUUUGAUCAUUUUAUUUAUAUAUAUAAAAUAUUUUUUGUUGUUAUUAUAUAAUUUUUUUCCGGUGGAUCAGAUCAAUUUUUAUUAAAAAUAAUGGAACAAAAAUAUAAUUAAUACAUCAUGGGUUGAUCGGAUUGGACAUUAAACAAAUUAUGACAUAAAAACCUUAUUUUUUCCAUCGAACACAUUCUUGAAAAAAGUGAACAGUAUUGUUUUCACAGUUGAAUUAUUUUGACUUUUAUCUUCCAUAUGGUUUUGAAAACUUUCAAAUCAACCAUCAAAUUGAUACAUGUCAUUUUAAUGUUUUAGUCGUAUACUUAAGGAAAACUUACAUUUUUGUAAUUUAAAGUCGUUUUAAAAAAUUCAAAAUAUAACAUAUAAGAAAAAAUCUAACAUAUAAGAAAAAUAUAACAUAUAAGGUGUACUCAUUUUUGUAUUUUAAAGUCGUUUUAAAAAAAAUAUAUAACAUAUAAGGUUUCCUCGUUUUUGUAAUUUAAAGUCAUUUUAAAAAAUUCAAAAUAUAACAUAUAAGAAAAAAUCUAAUUUUUUAUUAUAUGGUUAAUGUGAUUGUUUAUUUUUUUUAAUAAUAAAAAAUUAAACAAAAUGAAGAAUGAUGCAAAAGUUGUUAUCAAAUCUUUAUUAUUCAUAAUCAUUAAUUGUCAUAUAUAUGUAAAUCAUAUUAGGUAAUUCUGUAACUUUUAUUUAAGGAAAGAAUACACACUUCUUAUAUUUUAGGUUAAUAUAAUGUUCUCUAAUGGACAUUAAACAAAUUAUGACAUACAAACCUUAUUUUUUCCAUCGAACACAUUCUUGAAAAAAGUGAACAGUAUUGUUUCCACAGUUAAAGUAUUUUGACUUUUAUCUUCCAUAUGGUUUUGAAAGCUUUCAAAUCAACCAUCGAACUUAUACAUGUCAUUUUAAUGUUUUUAGUCGUAUACUUAAGGAAAACUUACAUUUUUGUAAUUUAAAGUCGUUUUAAAAAAUUCAAAAUAUAACAUAUAAGAAAAAAUCUAACAUAUAAGAAAAAUGUAAUAUAUAAGGUGUCCUCAUUUUUUUAUUUUAAAGUCUUUUUUAAAAAAAAUAUAACAUAUAAGGUUUCCUCAUUUUUGUAAUUUAAAGUCAUUUUAAAAAAUUCAAAAUAUAACAUAUAAGAAAAAAUCUAACAUAUAAGAAAAAUAUAACAUAUAAGGUGUACUCAUUUUUGUAUUUUAAAGUCGUUUUAAAAAAAAUAUAUAACAUAUAAGGUUUCCUCGUUUUUGUAAUUUAAAGUCAUUUUAAAAAAUUCAAAAUAUAACGUAUAAGAAAAAAUCUAAUUUUUUUAUUAUAUGGUUAAUGUGAUUGUUUAUUUUUUUUAAUAAUAAAAAAUUAAACAAAAUGAAGAAUGAUGCAAAAGUUGUUAUCAAAUCUUUAUUAUUCAUAAUCAUUAAUUGUCAUAUAUAUGUAAAUCAUAUUAGGUAAUUAUGUAGCUUUUAUUUAAGAAAAUAAUACACACUUCUUAUAUUUUAGGUUAAUAUAAUGUUCUCUAGUGGACAUUAAACAAAUUAUGACAUAAAAACCUUAUUUUUUCCCUCGAACACAUUCUUGAAAAAGUGAACAGUAUUGUUUUCACAGUUAAAUUAUUUUGACUUUUAUCUUACAUAUGGUUUUGAAAGCUUUCAAAUCAACCAUCGAACUUAUACAUGUCAUUUUAAUGUUUUUAGUCGUAUACUUAAGGAAAACUUACAUUUUUGUAAUUUAAAGUCGUUUUAAAAAAUUCAAAAUAUAACAUAUAAGAAAAAAUCUAACAUAUAAGAAAAAUGUAAUAUAUAAGGUGUCCUCAUUUUUUUAUUUUAAAGUCUUUUUUAAAAAAAAUAUAACAUAUAAGGUUUCCUCAUUUUUGUAAUUUAAAGUCAUUUUAAAAAAUUCAAAAUAUAACAUAUAAGAAAAAAUCUAUUUUUUAUUAUAUGGUUCAUGUGAUUGUUUAUUUUUUAAUAAUAUAAAUUAAACAAAAAUGAAGAAGAAUGCAAAAAUUGUUAUCAAAUCUUUAUUAUUCAUAAUCAUUAAUUAUCAUAUAUAUAUAUGUAAAUCAUAUUAGGUAAUUCUGUAACUUUUAUUUAAGGAAAGAAUACACACUUCUUAUAUUUUAGGUUAAUAUAAUGUUCUCUAAUGGACAUUAAACAAAUUAUGACAUACAAACCUUAUUUUUUCCAUCGAACACAUUCUUGAAAAAAGUGAACAGUAUUGUUUCCACAGUUAAAGUAUUUUGACUUUUAUCUUCCAUAUGGUUUUGAAAGCUUUCAAAUCAACCAUCGAAUUGAUACAUGUCAUUUUAAUAUUUUUAGUCGUAUACUUAAGGAAAACUUACAUUUUUGUAAUUUAAAGUCGUUUUUAAAAAAUUCAAAAUAUAACAUAUAAGAAAAUUCUAACAUAUAAGAAAAAUAUAACAUAUAAGAUGUCUUCAUUUUUGUAUUUUAAAGUCAUUUUAAAAAGAAAUAUAUAACAUAUAAGGUUUCCUCUUUUUUUGUAUUUUAAAUUCAUUUUAAAAAAUUCAAAAUAUAACGUAUAAGAAAAAAUCUAAUUUUUUUAUUAUAUGGUUAAUGUGAUUGUUUAUUUUUUUUUAAUAAUAUAAAUUUAAACAAAAAUGAAGAAGGAUGCAAAAAUUGUUAUCAAAUUUUUAUUAUUCAUAAUCAUUAAUUGCCAUAUAUAUGUAAAUCAUAUUAGGUAAUUCCGUAGCUUUUAUUUAAGGAAAGAAUACACACUUCCUAUAUUUUAGGUUAAUAUAAUGUUCUCUAGUGUUAUAUAAUUAUGGAAUAAUGUGACACCAUUAGAUUAAACUAUACUUUAUAUUAGAUGCUCUAGAAUUCUUUGAAAUGGAAUUUAGAAGGCAUUUAGAGUGCCACCUAAGAUUUGAGGUUUUUUUUAAUUAAUACAAAAUUAAAGUUCUAAUUUUUCAAAUGAUUCUCAAUUAAUAUACUGGAGAUACGAAAAAAGGAAAAAAAGUCAAUCUUAUAACUCUCUCACUCACAUCUCACGUCAACUCUCUCUAUUUAUUACUCAGAAAUAAAACUAUAUAGAAUAAUACUUAUAAACCUUCUAUCUCGGUUACUAUUGUACAACACUAUUCUUAUUGUAAUCAUAUUACUUUCAUUGUCUGCAUUGACUUUUUAUUUUCUUUCGGAUUCACCUGCUUCCAUUGACCAAUAAAACCGAGUUAGUGACAUAACAACUACAUGAAAUGUUUUAAUCAUUCACAUGUCAAAUUUAUCAUAAACAUAAUUAAAUUUUAGCGAAACAUGAUAAUGUACUCCUUCAGCGCUUCUUAAUGUACGCAUUCAUGUAUUUUUAGAAACUUAUAAUACUACUUCAUAACAAACAAUUUUUAAAUAUAAACUCAAUUUUACAUACUUAAAUUAAUUUUGUAGAACAACAAAUAAUCGAUUGUUUGCAAAAUAUCUAUAAGAAUUAUAGACUUAUAAUCUUUUAUGUUGGCUCUCAUCUGUGUGACGCUUUUUUCUUACUAGGCAGGUUUGCAAGAUCCAACACGUUUGACUUUAAGCUAUUUUGUAAGCGUCUCUACUUCUUCCUAUAAAUAAAUGAAUUACUAGUUCGAUGAAUAUAAUCAUGAUCCUGUAGUGAUGCAACUCCUCUAUCGACAUAUAUAUUUUGCAUAUUGUUUUUUUUUUUUUUUGAAAAAGGGCAUAUUUUUUUUUGCAUAUUGUGUUUCUUCUUUUUUUUUUCUAAAUGAAUCUUCCCAACCUUUAAAAAGGAUGACUAGUUGGAAUUUAAACUCAAGAAAUAGCUCCAAGAUGGACCGAGGCAAGCCACAGGAUAUCUGAUACUGUAUUCAUGUAUAUUACUCCCUCCGGUUUUUUUAAUAUAAGUCGUUUUAUAAAAAAUUUUAUGUUCCAAAUUAUAUGAAGUUUUCGGUUUUCUAUGUAAAAUUUAUUAACACUUAAUAUUAUAUGACUAAUGAUAAUAUAUCUUCUAUUUUAUUAGUGGUUGAUUUGUGGUUUUAUAAAUAAUUAAUGAUGUUUUUGUUUAGAAAAUAUAAAAAAUUAAUGAUUUUCUUAAUCUAUGUGUACAAUUCUAAAACGACUUAUAUUAAAAAACGGAGAGAAUAAUUUAUUAAUCUAAGGACUACCAGUCUACCAAGUACCAACAAGGCAACAAAAACUCAAAAGAAACUCAUCCACCCAAAACAUGAUGGUUAAUUUUUUUUAUACAGAAAACAUUUACAAAAAGAAAACCAAGGAACGUAUAUGCACAAUUUAAAUCAUAGGUUACAUAAUUUGUUUGAGUGACAACGUUCAGGCAAUAGACUAUGAGCCAAAUACAUGGUAGACUUCAUAUACAGGAGAGAAGAGAAAAACAAAGAUCAGUUUUUUUUGGUCGAACCUUUCAUUACUUGUUUCAAAAGAAAAGAGUUUACACCAUAGGUGAAUUAAGAGAAAAACAAAGAUCAGUUAGUUGAGCAUUUUUCCAAUGAUAAUAUUACUGUGAAAAUAAUGGCAAACAGAUCAGGGUUGGGAUCAAUGGGACAAUGAACUUUCAAGUUAGAUCUCCCAUUUUUACAAAAAAAAAAAAAAAAAAAAAAAAAAAGGUGUUAGAUCUCCCACGAUCUUGUAACCACUAAUUUGUUAUUACAUGCUUUUAAAUUCUUUAAUAAUUCGACCUAAAUUUGAAUUCAUGAGUUCAGUCAAUCGUUGAAAUUUUCUCCAUUGGACACCAUUUCUCACGAAACAAUAUUAGAAUGUGUCACAAUACACGUAUUGGAGAUGGCUUCGAAUGUUACGAACUGUCCCGUCCCGCACCGCAAUCAACAGCAACAAAAAUCUCUACGUAUACCAUAUAUCUAUAUGUUUUUAUAACUGUUAAAACCGCAUCGCAAUUAAACCGUUUGUCCCGCACCGCUCAAACCGCAGUUAUCAGUCAUAGCAAUAUUUAAAGAGAAAUUGAACCUUAUAAACAGGAAAGAAUCCCCAUGUGCAUGUGCUAUAUUAUACAUUUAUUGCUUUGCCAAUAAAUUUAAGACCCUUGCUUAACUGUCCAUCUUUAUAAUAUCUGUAUAAUAGAGAUGUACAGUAUCAUAAUGUUUAAGCAAACCCAUCAGGAAAAUACUUGACAUAUCAAAAUAUCAUUGAAAUGAAGACUUCACAUUCUGUUAAGAACUCGAACACCACUGUAGAUGUACGUACACAUUCACCUAGGUCAAACCUCAAAAAGGUUUUCUCCACUGCAACUCACUUAACCGGUUUUAUACACAUAACAUCAUCUUAACUCGCCUUUGAUCAAUUUCUAGCGAUUAGCUUACAUAAAAUUUCAAACUAAAGCGUUAGUCUUUUCAUGGAUUUCAGUACUAACAACUGCGUAUACGUGGUAUCGAAGUCACCUCAAAAGCAAAGAAAAUCAACAAAAAUAAAUAUUUCGAAUCUCGAAAUUUUUCAAUUCUACGAUUUGCUGAUUCAAAUAUUUUUCUUCCAAUUCUACGGUUCGCUGAUUCAAAUAUUUUCUUAACAAACAAAAAAAAGUCUUUAUUUGGGGGGGGGGGGGGNNNNNNNNNNNNNNNNNNNNNNNNNNNNNNNNNNNNNNNNNNNNNNNNNNNNNNNNNNNNNNNNNNNNNNNUGUGGGGGGGGGGGGGGGGGGUGCGUCAAAGCUAUCCAAGGGCUCGAGUUUGCAGUUCGUAUAUAUGCCCGGUAACAAGCUUUUUAUUAAUCUCGGCCAACUAUUUCUAUUAAUCUCGGCCCAUCGUUAGCGAAUGUUCAAAUACCAACAUGUAAGAUUCGCCAAUCUUUUUAUUUUGGCCCAUGUCUAAGACUAUCUGCCAAUGCGAUAUCGAUUGAUCUUCCUAAAAAAAAGUUCAAAUGCAGCGACAGCGAGAAACCAAACAUCCAAACCUUUGCAUAUAAUCCCCCAAAAAAACUACAAAUCGCUUCAUACUUUAUGGUCCAUAUUUAACAAAAAAGGGUAGUCAAGUCUUCUUUUUUCUUCUUAAUGCAUAAACCUUCUUUCUCUAAACAGAGAGUCUUAGCUGGGUUAUAAAAUUUCAUUUCAAAUAACUAAAUAAGAGACCCAUACACACCACUGGCAUGCAUGAAAAUAUAUUAACAAAAUAUUCUUUGCCAACUGCUUAAAUUUCAUUUAAAAUGAGAUUAUUUGUACAGAAUUACAAAAUUGUGUGUUUGGUCUUUACAUGUGGAAUCAAUAAAUAAAUGUCAUGUUCAACUAAGCUUGUUAAUAAACAUGUUUUUUUUAACAUUAAUAAACAUGUUAAUUGCCUAUCGUAUUUAAAUAGGUUGUUAAUAAACAUGUUAACUGUCUACGCGUAUUUAAAUACUCUGGUCAGCAUAUUUCGUUUUUAGACUUGGAUGUGUUAUGCAUACCUCCUAAUUGUCUAUCUUUAAAAUCAUGUUAUGCAAACUAUAAGGGGGUGUUAAUCAAACUUAGCUUUUUAUAGAGUUAGUUGAUUUUAAAAGUUGGGAGAUUUGUUAAAUUUGAAAAGAGUUGUAGAAAAUUUUGUAUAUUGUGAAAAUCUAUGAAAAUAAAGUAAUGUAUUGAUUCUAAGAAUUCAAGAAAAACAUGUAGUAUUCUCAAAAUUUUGUUUGGUGAAUUAAAAUAUUAAGAAUUCAACUCUCAAUAACAUCUAAUUUCUUUGAAUAACAAAUGAUUUUGUAUAGAAUUAUCAAACCAAUAACACUAGAUUUUAAUGAGAAUGUGAGAAUCUAUAAACCAAUAACACUACACUUGCAAAUUCUUAGACUCAUUAGGGAAAAUAUGCAAUCUUAUUUUUUGUAUGAAACUCGGGGAUUUUAUUAGUAUUUUGAAUACAAUUACAAAGCUAUAAUGGCAAUACAAUUACGGUUUUCUAGAUCCGAGCAUUAUUUUCCUUGAGAACUCCAUCGACAUUUAGGCCCUGAAAUACAAAAACACAAUCUCAUCAUUAAAAUCCCGGAUACAAUUUAUUCUAAUGUGACAUAAAAUAUGUAUUAGGUUGUCGAAUAAUUACGGCGUAUAAUCAAUGUUAAUGAUCCCAGCGACAGGAUUAGCGAUCUGAGAAAAAGCUUCAAAGGAGAGAUCGAUAGUAGAAGCACAGCCAGCGGG